rnacentral:rRNA from 1 species
CAAUAGCGUAUACUAACGUUGUUGCAGUUAAAAAGCUCGUAGUUGGAUUUGUGGCGGCAGUUGCGGUCCGUACUUUUUCGGUACUGUCGACUGCUGCCAUCCUUGGGUGGAUGCUGUGUGGCAUUAGGUUGUCGUGCAGUGGAUACCCAUCGUUUACUGUGAGAAAAUUAGAGUGUUCAAAGCAGGCUUAAGCCGUUGAAUAUAUUAGCAUGGAAUAAUGAGAUAGGACCCUGGUACUAUUUUGUUGGUUUGCGUGCCAAGGUAAUGAUUAAUAGGGACAGUUGGGGGUAUUCGUAUUCCAUUGUCAGAGGUGAAAUUCUUGGAUUUCUGGAAGACGAACUACUGCGAANGNAUUUACNAAGGAUGUUUNCAUUA